AGUAGUUCGACGUCCGUGACUACGAGACGACGCUGGCGGCGUGCUUCAAACAUGCAAGUCGAACGGAGUUAAUUUAGCUUGCUAAAUUAACUUAGUGCGGACUGGUGAGUAACGCGUGAGUAAUCUGCCUAUUACAGGGGGAUAACAGUUGGAAACGACUGCUAAUACCGCAUAAGACCACGGGAAGGCAUCUUCAAGGGGUCAAAGGGAUACUGGUAAUAGAUGAGCUUGCGUAUCAUUAGCUAGAUGGUGAGGGUAAAGGCCCACCAUGGCGACGAUGAUUAGCCGAUCUGAGAGGAUGACCGGCCACACUGGAACUGAGAUACGGUCCAGACUCCUACGGGAGGCAGCAGUUAGGAAUAUUGGGCAAUGGAGGAAACUCUGACCCAGCAACGCCGCGUGAAGGAAGAAGGUUUUCGGAUUUGUAAACUUCUGAUCUUGGGGAAAAAGAAAGUGAUGGUACCCAAGGAGAAAGCCACGGCUAACUACGUG
rnacentral:rRNA from 1 species